AAAAAAACCCAAAGCAGACUGAACAGCGGGGACACUGUACUGACAUUGGCUGCAGCCUGGCGCAGGAAGUACUGAUGACAGAGACCACGGCAGACAGGACCACCUCCUCCACCAGAGGACUACGACGACCAGAGGACCCCUCACCUGCCAAACAUGAACCAUGCAGCUUGGAGCGCCAGCGAAAUCAGGCGGGGGAUGACGACUUCGUGGAAGCACCGGCCCAUCUCCUCCGUGUCCUGGACCUGCUCCGCUAUCCUCCGGAGGCUGUGACACGCCGACACCACCUCCUCCACGGAGAAAGCCGCGCUUCCUGAAAACAACAAGGCAUUUCUGUGUCAUUCAUGUAAAGUUUAAUUUUUGGUCCUGUCUAAAUUUCUUGAGUCUCUUGGGACAAAUGACCUGCGUGCACCGAGCCGAGGACCUCCAGGAGGACAGGUGUGCUCUCCCGGACAACGCCGGGUCUGGUGGACACCGCGGCCAGAGCAGACAAACACCGCUGACGCAUUGCAUGAUGGGAAGGCUGCCCAGACGCUGCUCUGUUGUCACCUUCAUCCAUGGGCUCUGAGCAGAGGAGAGAGGAGAGGAGAGGAAGAGGAAAAGGCUUUUCACUCACCAGAAAACAUCUCCUUCUUCAGUCUUGGGAUCAGUUUGGUGAUAAAGACAGUUGGGUGCAGCUCUGCUAACGCUCCGGCACAAUCGACCACAGCAAGACUGGAGACACAGAGGGAUGAAAUUUAAUGUUUGGUUCAACUGAAACUUCAGGAUUCAGAUUUUCUAAAAAAAAGUAGAUAGAAAGCUAACACCAAUUGUUCUAUUUUAGUUGGUUGUAGCUGUUAAGCUAUACUGUAUGUUGGUAUCCAACAUGAAAAAAAAAAGUGUGGUUUUGUGUGUGUAUGUGUGUUUAACGAGAUAACGGAAUUGAAUGGAUGACAGAGAAGAGGAAGAGAGCUGACCUGACUCUGUCAUCCUCCU